GACGAACGCUGGCGGCGUGCUUAACACAUGCAAGUCGAACGGAAAGGCCCUGCUUUUGUGGGGUGCUCGAGUGGCGAACGGGUGAGUAACACGUGAGUAACCUGCCCUUGACUUUGGGAUAACUUCAGGAAACUGGGGCUAAUACCGGAUAGGAGCUCCUGCUGCAUGGUGGGGGUUGGAAAGUUUCGGCGGUUGGGGAUGGACUCGCGGCUUAUCAGCUUGUUGGUGGGGUAGUGGCUUACCAAGGCCUUGACGGGUAGCCGGCCUGAGAGGGUGACCGGCCACAUUGGGACUGAGAUGCGGCCCAGACUCCUACGGGAGGCAGCAGUGGGGAAUAUUGCACAAUGGGCGGAAGCCUGAUGCAGCAACGCCGCGUGCGGGAUGACGGCCUUCGGGUUGUAAUCCGCUUUCGCCUGUGACGAAGUGUGAGUGACGGUAAUGGGUAAAGAAGCACCGGCUAACUACGUG
rnacentral:rRNA from 1 species